rnacentral:rRNA from 1 species
GAUGAACGCUGACAGAAUGCUUAACACAUGCAAGUCAUUGGCGAAGCUGCGCUUGCGCAGUCUAUCCAAGGCGGACGGGUGAGUAACGCGUAAGGAACUUGCCCUGCAGACAGGGAUAACAGACGGAAACGACUGAUAACACCUGGUAUUGUCAGGCUGGCGCAUGCCGGCCUGAUGAAAGGAGACGCUGCAGGAGAGCCUUGCGUCCUAUUAGCUAGUUGGUGGGGUAACGGCCCACCAAGGCGAUGAUAGGUAGCCGGCCUGAGAGGGUGAACGGCCACAAGGGGACUGAGAUACGGCACUGACUCAUACGGGAGGCAGCAGUGGGGAAUAUUGGACAAUGGGGGCAACGCUGAUCCAGCAAUUCUGUGUGCACGAAGAAGGUUUUCGGAUUGAAAAGUGCUUUCAGCAGGGAAGAAGAAAGUGACGGUACCUGCAGAAGAAGCGACGGCUAAAUACGUG